rfam:Camelus ferus unplaced genomic scaffold scaffold661, whole genome shotgun sequence.
GAGGGUCUAGCUCAAGUGGCAGAGCGCAUGCUUAGCAUGCAUGAGGUCCUGGGUUCGAUCCCCAGUACCUCCU